rnacentral:piRNA from 1 species
UGCAUAACUGAAGCUGAAGAAGAGCGGU